CCGCGCCUACGGGACGCAGCAGUAGGGAAUUUUCGUCAAUGGGCGCAAGCCUGAACGAGCGAUGCCGCGUGAGUGAAGAAGGCCUUCGGGUCGUAAAGCUCUGUUGCGGGGGAAAAAAGGCAGCAUCAGGAAAUGGGUGCUGACUGAUGGUGCCCCGCCAGAAAGUCACGGCUAACUACGUGCCAGCAGCCGCGGUAAUACGUAGGUGGCGAGCGUUAUCCGGGAUGAUUGGGCGUAAAGGGUGCGAAGGCGG
rnacentral:rRNA from 1 species